GCCGGGCGCUGUGGCACACGCCUGUAAUCCCAGUAGCUCAGGAGGCUGAGGCAGGAGGAUAGUGAGGUAAAAGCCAGCCUCAA
rnacentral:sRNA from 1 species